rnacentral:rRNA from 1 species
UGGACUGGCCGCCAGGGUCCGGAAGAGGAGCGAGUUCACUCGAUCAUCUACGUUACGUGGGUGGUGGGGAGCGACGAGCUCUGGGUUACUGUGAAGAAAUUAGAGUGUUUAAAGCAGGCAGGAAAGCUUGAAUAGACGAGCAUGGAAUAACAAGAUAGGACAUUGAGAGCCUCUUGUUGGUGAAGGGGGACGGAUGUAAUGAUUAAUAGGGUCAGUUGGGGGCAUUAGUAUUCAGUAGUCAGAGGUGAAAUUCUUGGAUUUACUGAAGACUAACUAGUGCGAAAGCAUUUGCCAAGGAUGUUUUCAUUAAUCAAGAACGAAAGUUAGGGGAUCGAAGACGAUCAGAUACCGUCGUAGUCUUAACUAUAAACGAUGCCGACUAAGGAUCGGCAGGGGUCGGUUAGCGACACUGUCGGGACUUUGUGAGAAAUCAAAGUUUAUGGGUUCUGGGGGGAGUAUGGUCGCAAGGCUGAAACUUAAAGGAAUUGACGGAAGGGCACCACCAGGAGUGGAGCCUGCGGCUUAAUUUGACUCAACACGGGAAAACUCACCAGGUCCGGACAUGGUAAGGAUUGACAGAUUGAGAGCUCUUUCUUGAUUCUGUGGGUGGUGGUGCAUGGCCGUUCUUAGUUGGUGGAGUGAUUUGUCUGGUUAAUUCCGAUAACGAACGAGACCUUGACCUGCUAACUAGAUGCUAGUACGAGAGUAUUGGUAGACUUCUUAGAGGGACUAACUA